rnacentral:rRNA from 1 species
GUCUAUGGCCAUGCCACCCUGAACAAGCCCGAUGUCUGAUCUCGGAAGUGUCAGGCCUGGUUAGUAGUUGGAUGAGAGACCACCGAGGAAGACCAGGUGCUGAAGGCA